rnacentral:pre_miRNA from 1 species
UUAACUCAACAUUGCAUGGAGUUGGAACGUUUGCCUACGUUUGCCGCUAGGGGCGCUGUUCAACUGCAUACAAAUUAUAGUA